CCCUAGUAACUGCGAGUGAAGCGGGAAAAGCUCAAAUUUAAAAUCUGGCAGUCUUUGAUUGUCCGAGUUGUAAUUUAGAGAAGUGCUACCCGCGCUGGACUGUGUAUAAGUCUCCUGGAAUGGAGCGUCAUAGAGGGUGAGAAUCCCGUAUAUGACACAGUUGCCAGGGCUUAGUUGGUAUGCUCUCAAAGAGUCGAGUUGUUUGGGAAUGCAGCUCAAAAUGGGUGGUAAAUUCCAUCUAAAGCUAAAUAUUGGCGAGAAACCGAUAGCGAACAAGUACCGUGAGGGAAAGAUGAAAAGAACUUUGGAAAGAGAGUUAAACAGUACGUGAAAUUGUUGAAAGGGAAACGCUUGAAGUCAGUCGCAUUGCUGGAAAUCACACUUGCCUUGGCUUGUGGCUCUUUCCUUGCAAUGGGUCAGCAUCAGUUUUUGUUGUGGGAUAAGAGUUAGGGGAAUGUGGCAUCCUUGGAUGUGUUAUAGCCCUUGACUGCAUGCCAUGAUAGAGACUGAGGAACUCAGCACUUGCUGCUUAGGAUGCUGGCAUAAUGGCUUUAAUCGACCCGUCUUGA
rnacentral:rRNA from 1 species